UCGUUAUCAAAAUGAAGUGGCCUGUUAGUCUGUUGGUGCUGUUCUUCUGGAUUCCUGCUUCCAGAGGUGAUGUUGUGAUGACACAAACUCCAGUCUCCCUGCCUGUCAGCGUUGGAGGUCAAGCCUCUAUCUCUUGCCGGUCUAGUCAGAGCCUGGUACACAGUAAUGGAAACACCUACUUGCAUUGGUACCUGAAGAAGCCAGGCCAGUCUCCACAGCUCCUCAUCUAUCGGGUUUCCAACAGAUUUUCUGGGGUGCCAGACAGGUUCAGUGGCAGUGGGUCAGGGACAGAUUUCACCCUCAAGAUCAGCAGAGUAGAGCCUGAGGACUUGGGAGUUUAUUACUGCUUACAAAGUACACAUUUACCUCCCACAUGGUAUGGGGGGGGUCCUCAAAUAGCACUAUGUCUAUGUCUAAUUUUCUGA